rnacentral:rRNA from 1 species
AUACGGAGGAUGCGAGCGUUAUCCGGAUUUAUUGGGUUUAAAGGGUGCGUAGGCUGUGCGUUAAGUCAGGGGUGAAAUGCCGUCGCUCAACGACGGAGCUGCCCUUGAUACUGGCGUGCUGGAGUACGGAUGCCGUUGGAGGAAUGAGUGGUGUAGCGGGGAAAUGCUUAGAUAUCACUCAGAACACCGAUUGCGAAGGCAUCUGACGAAUCCGUCACUGACGCUGAGGCACGAAAGCGUGGGGAUAGAACAGGAUUAGAUACCCUGGUAUUCCACGCCGUAAACGAUGAUGACUAACCGUCGGCGAUAGACAGCCGGUGGCCAAGCGAAAGCGAUAAGUCAUCCACCUGGGGAGUACGUCGGCAACGAUGAAACUCAAAUGAAUUGACGG